CAGAGUUGCAAAACUCCCAAACCCACUGUGAACUUACCUGUCCUUGUUCCUUCGGCAGGCGGCCCCCGGGGGGGCUUCGCCGAAAGGCGUCUGCCGAGGGACAACUAAAACUCUUGCUACCUAAGUGUCUUCUGAGCAACAAUAAAAAAAUCA
rnacentral:misc_RNA from 1 species